GUGUGGCCUGGGAAAGGUCAGGCUUUGACACAAGGAAUUUAGAGAAGAAAAAAGGUGUGGUCUGCUGUUUCAUUCAGUCCAUUAUCUGUUGAGCAUUCCUUUUUUUAUUCAAAUAGAGCAGAAGAAAGGAGCUUGAAAUGGACAGUUAUCUCUGGUUUAUCUGGCUGUAGAGUGCAGAGAUGAUUCUCUUUCAGGAUGGGAGAGGGGGUGGGGAGGAGGAGAGAGGUGGGAAUGUAAUGAUGAUGGUGAUGGGUUGAUGAAUGUGAGACUGGAGGUUUUUUUCAUACAAAGUCUCGCUCUUGUUCCCCAAGCUGGAGUGCAAUGGCAUGAUCUUGGCUCACUGCAACCUCCGCCUCUUGGGUUCAAGAGAAUGGCAUGAACCCGGGAGGCGGAGCUUGCAGUGAGCCGAGAUCGCGCCACUGCACUCUAGCCUGGGCAAUGGAGCGAGACUCUGUGUCAAAAAAAAAAAAAAAAAAAAAACCAAAACAAAAAAAAAACAAAAACCAGUGGGACAGAGUGCAAACUGAGAGGCAAAACAUUUUUGUUUGUUAAGUGCAAAUUUUUAAUUUGUACAUGAAAUAUGUUACUGAAUUUGAAUAAAAAUUUACCUUUGAAAUGAAAACCUAUUCCUUUAUACUUGUUAAUGGUUUUAAAAUGAAAGAUGAAUAAAGGAAAUAAAUGUUAUAGCCUAAGUAUUAUUGCCUAAAUUGUAUCUUAUUUAGAUGCUUUGGUUUUAUUAAAAUUUGCUUGUUGGUUGCUGGAUGACCAUUUACAUAAGGGAGUAUAUCAGAUUGUAAAGAAAGGAUCAAAAUUUAAACAGGUAGAUGUGAAAAUGAUUGAAAUAAAUAGUUGUGCCUUUUUCAUUUUUUGGAGCCAUAAUAUUAAUUUUAUGUAUUUAUUUUAUGAUGUGAGUAUGCAUAC
ensembl:lncRNA novel transcript